UAUGUAGGGUGCAAGCGUUGUCCGGAAUUAUUGGGCGUAAAGAGCUCGUAGGCGGUCUGUCGCGUCGAAUGUGAAAACCCGGGGCUCAACUCCGGGCCUGCAUUCGAUACGGGCAGACUAGAGUUCGGUAGGGGAGUCUGGAAUUCCUGGUGUAGCGGUGAAGUGCGCAGAUAUCAGGAGGAACACCGGUGGCGAAGGCGGUUCUCUGGGCCUGUUCUGACGCUGAGGAGCGAAAGCAUGGGGAGCGAACAGG
rnacentral:rRNA from 1 species